rnacentral:rRNA from 1 species
UACGUAGGGACCAAGCGUUGUUCGGAUUUACUGGGCGUAAAGAGUGUGUAGGCGGUGCUCUAAGUUCGGUGUGAAAUCUCCUGGCUUAACUGGGAGGGUGCGCCGGAAACUGGAGUGCUUGAGCGUGGGAGAGGAAAGCGGAAUUCCUGGUGUAGCGGUGAAAUGCGUAGAUAUCAGGAGGAACACCUGUGGUGUAGACGGCUUUCUGGACCAUUGCUGACGCUGAGACACGAAAGCGUGGGUAGCAAACAGG